UCUGCUCAAUCCCCUUAGCUUUCUUUACCCUAAAAAAAGUUACCCAUCCUGAGUCCUCACGUCGCCGCCGCAUCUGCCUGGAGAUCACCUCGAUCCUUCUCAUGGAGCAAGCUGAUCCUCUCCUCCCCUACAUGAUGACUACACCAUCAUGGAAACUUCUCAGAUUUAGAUGGAGAUCAUAAAUACAUGAUCUUGCUGGAGCCGCUCCUUCCAUACAUGGCUAGCUGCACCGUCGGGGCGGCCGACACGAUCCAGCGGACAUGAUGAUCCACGGAGAUCAAGAUGCUAUGUAAAUAUACCCAUCAUGAUGGCCGGCGAUUCCCCUUGGAUGAACGACUGGGGUGAUCUAGCUGAUGUGAAGAUCCACACAUAGCAAGAUGUAUAUAUGUUUGGCCAGCGGCAGAAGGUUCCUUGAUUCUUUACACCAUCAGACAAAUCAGAUCAAGUCCUUUGUGGAGGUCUGCAACAUCAGAUAAACAGAUAUUGCACACGCCCAGGUGAUCUAGCUAGGCACCGGUAACUACAUAAAAGGUACCAUCUAUUUCUCCAUAAAUUACAGCAUAUGGUCUAUAGAUUGUUAUAUAUUUUGAUCUUUUUCUUCUUUUGUAUCACACUUAGUAGGCCUGAACAGUGACAUAAGACGAUGUCUGUAGUAUGUCUGAUGCAAUUAUUUGAUACACCUUCUUUUAGAGGUAUUGUGUGAACGGAAGAUCAUGCUUAUGUAUUCAUCCUUGCUCCGCCUACUCUUUGGUUUCGGGUGAACAUUGCAGCUGUAUCACAACUUGAUCUUGAUUAGGUCGGGAAACUUUUCCGUGGAAAUCGUGGGUAAACAGAACUACAAAAGCUUGGCGGUAGAGAAAUAAUAGAACGACUUCCCUCUCAUGCUUGGACUAUGAGGUCAUGUGUGCAGACUGCUAGAAAGUUGGAGAAAUUUACAUUUAGCAGGAAGAAGGUGAAGUGCAUAUACCUUCCUAUGUACCUACACAAGCCCUGUGGUAUGUACUUCAGAUGGUAGUAUAUUUCAUUAUUUUAUGUUUAUGCUGACUUAAUUUGUGUUUAUUCCUAUGUAGUCUAUUAUUCAGAAGUUCAAUGAUUUAUACCAAUCUUAUGGACAGAAUGAUUUUUAAUAUUAAUGCCACUGUCAUUUGAAGCUUGAUACUUUGUAUGCACUCUAAUCUUCAGAAGUUGAGGUUCAUCUGCAGCUUAUACUUAGUUAGAUCUACGGGCUUCUAUGUGUAAAUUCUGGGGGAAAAAGAAUUCGGAAAGCUUGGAGCUGGAGCGCGUAGCGUGUUUUUCUUGGUGUGACGUACAUGGACAGGUUGCUGAAGAAGAACAAAAGGGAAAUUUCACAUGGGCGAGCAAGCAGUUCGGUGUUGGUGGUCGGCCAUGGUCAUUUAAUAUCCUAGAGAAGACGGUUUCGUCGCCCUCAACGUACAAAAGAAAACGACAUGAAGUUGUGGUUUUGGCAUGAUCGCCAAUGAAACUCCUUGAGUGCAUUCUUACUGGCUGCAACGUGCUCCUCGAAAAUGGAUAGUUAACGGCAGGUUGAUGCAUGCCUAGCCACAACUGGCAAAGCUGCCAUCGUCGUUAGCAGGGCAGCAAAGUUCUUGUGGCAUCGAGACUGUAAAGAAAUGAACCAAACGUUGAGACCAGAUGCAGCCGGUUAAUAAUUUAUCAUGGUUUUUGAUUAUGUGAUCUGACAAGAUGUUCGAAAUGCUAUUUCCGCAAAUGUACUGUUGUAUGCUUAACUGUCAAUGGUGUUAUGUCUCAGGGAAGGGAUGGAUAACUUGAAGGACAAGUUUGCUGAAAAGUUUGUAACUUAUUUCCAAGACAAAGGAAGUGCAGGAAGCCUGGAACACACAUGUUAAGGGAAACUGUUGACGGCACAUGUGAUGUGACCUUCAUCACCAUCGGAUCUUGGAGUGGGUGUUAUAUGUCUUCAUUGUUGACUAUCUUCAGCAGGGUCAUGUUGAUGUUAUAGGAGAAGGCAUGGAACUCCAUUGCCAUCAACUUGCAUUAGUGCGACAACCGUACUGUUCUUAGCAGCCAGUUCCAUACGGAGAUUUGCGAAGGAGGGCAGUUGGAGCCUUGAAGUACAACAACAAGCUAGUAGGGGUGUCAUUCCAGGACUCCUCUUUGUUGGAAACACCGUGAGUUGUAUCGGGGAGAAAAGGGAGAAACGAAAUUAAGAGGAAAAAGAGAGGGCACACCAUGAGCCCUUGGCUAAAAGUUUGUGUGUGUGCGUUCGUAUGAUUUUGAUGUGGUCGUUCGUGUGGACGAAUUCCAACACUCUUGGACGCUUGGUAUCCUUGGCUCUGUGUGCAAGGACGUUGACUAGGAUGUAUUGAUGCAUGGGUACACGAGAAAGAUUGGUGAAGCAAUCUUAUUUGCAGAAAACGUACAUGUUGUCUUAUAUGUGUUAUUUUCUUAUUAUGCAACCAUCAUUAAGUAUAUCUAUAUUUGAUUGGGAAAAGUAUAUCAUGGUAGUUGGAGGAUAAGUAUGAUAUUUUGCCUAAAGCAAAAUUAUAGCC